AGCGAACGCUGGCGGCAGGCCUAACACAUGCAAGUCGAACGAAGUCUUCGGACUUAGUGGCGGACGGGUGAGUAACACGUGGGAACGUACCUUUUGGUUCGGAACAACUCAGGGAAACUUGAGCUAAUACCGGAUGAGCCCUUAGGGGGAAAGAUUUAUCGCCGAAAGAGCGGCCCGCGUUAGAUUAGCUAGUUGGUGAGGUAAAGGCUCACCAAGGCUACGAUCUAUAGCUGGUCUGAGGGGAUGAUCAGCCACACUGGGACUGAGACACGGCCCAGGCUCCUGCGGGAGGCAGCAGUGGGGAAUCUUGCGCAUGGGCGAAAGCCUGACGCAGCCAUGCCGCGUGAAUGAUGAAGGUCUUAGGAUUGUAAAAUUCUUUUACCAGGGACGAUAAUGACGGUACCUGGAGAAAAAGCCCCGGCUAACUUCGUGCCAGCAGCCGCCGUAACAC
rnacentral:rRNA from 1 species